rnacentral:rRNA from 1 species
CCUAACACAUGCAAGUCGAACGCGAAAGUGGAGCAAUCCAUGAGUAGAGUGGCAAACGGGUGAGUAACACGUGGGUGACCUGCCUUCGAGUGGGGGAUAACCUUCCGAAAGGAGGGCUAAUACCGCAUGACAUACCGUGUUUGGAUACACGGAUAUCAAAGCCGGGGAUCGCAAGACCUGGCGCUUGAAGAGGGGCCCGCGUCCGAUUAGCUAGUUGGUGAGGUAACGGCUCACCAAGGCUCCGAUCGGUAUCCGGCCUGAGAGGGCGGACGGACACACUGGAACUGAGACACGGUCCAGACUCCUACGGGAGGCAGCAGUGGGGAAUUGUUCGCAAUGGGCGAAAGCCUGACGACGCAACGCCGCGUGGAGGAUGAAGAAUUUCGGUUCGUAAACUCCUUUCGACCGAGAUGAAUACCCACGGACCCAACACGUCUGUGGGCUGACAGUAUCGAGAGAAGAAGCCCCGGCUAACUCUGUGCCAGCAGCCGCGGUAAUACAGGGGGGGCAAGCGUUGUUCGGAAUUACUGGGCGUAAAGGGUUCGUAGGUGGCCAACUAAGUCAGACGUGAAAUCCCUCAGCUUAACUGGGGAACUGCGUCUGAUACUGGUUGGCUUGAGUGCAGGAGAGGAACGCAGAAUUCCAGGUGUAGCGGUGAAAUGCGUAGAUAUCUGGAGGAAUACCGGUGGCGAAGGCGGCGUUCUGGACUGUAACUGACACUGAGGAACGAAAGCCAGGGGAGCAAACGGGAUUAGAUACCCCGGUAGUCCUGGCCCUAAACGAUGAAUGCUUGGUGUGGCGGGUAUCGAUCCCUGCCGUGCCGAAGUUAACGCGAUAAGCAUUCCGCCUGGGGAGUACGGUCGCAAGGCUGAAACUCAAAGGAAUUGACGGGGGCCCGC